rnacentral:rRNA from 1 species
GAUGAACGCUGGCGGCGUGCCUAAUACAUGCAAGUCGAGCGAACGGACGAGAAGCUUGCUUCUCUGAUGUUAGCGGCGGACGGGUGAGUAACACGUGGAUAACCUACCUAUAAGACUGGGAUAACUUCGGGAAACCGGAGCUAAUACCGGAUAAUAUUUUGAACCGCAUGGUUCAAAAGUGAAAGGCGGUCUUGCUGUCACUUAUAGAUGGUUCCGCGCUGCAUUAGCUAGUUGGUAAGGUAACGGCUUACCAAGGCAACGAUGCAUAGCCGACCUGAGAGGGUGAUCGGCCACACUGGAACUGAGACACGGUCCAGACUCCUACGGGAGGCAGCAGUAGGGAAUCUUCCGCAAUGGGCGAAAGCCUGACGGAGCAACGCCGCGUGAGUGAUGAAGGUCUUCGGAUCGUAAAACUCUGUUAUUAGGGAAGAACAUAUGUGUAAGUAACUGUGCACAUCUUGACGGUACCUAAUCAGAAAGCCACGGCUAACUACGUG